UGCUAUCUCUUACCAUGUCUUUUGAGUACUUACGUUUCCUCGGUGGGUUCGCCCGCCGAUUGGACAAUUUAAACCCUUUGCAGUUGCAAUCAGCGUCUGAAAAAAAUUAAUAAUUACAACUUUCAACAACGGAUCUCUUGGUUCUGGCAUCGAUGAAGAACGCAGCGAAAUGCGAUAAGUAGUGUGAAUUGCAGAAUUCAGUGAAUCAUCGAAUCUUUGAACGCACAUUGCGCCCCUUGGUAUUCCAUGGGGCAUGCCUGUUCGAGCGUCAUUUGUACCUUCAAGCUCUGCUUGGUGUUGGGUGUUUGUCUCGCCUUGCGCGUAGACUCGCCUUAAAACAAUUGGCAGCCGGCGUAUUGAUUUCGGAGCGCAGUACAUCUCGCGCUUUGCACUCAUAACGACGACGUCCAAAAGUACUUUUUACACUCUUGACCUCGGAUCAGGUAGGGAUACCCGCUGAACUUAAGCAUAUC
rnacentral:rRNA from 1 species